rnacentral:misc_RNA from 1 species
GAAAUGCGAUAAGUAGUGUGAAUUGCAGAAUUCAGUGAAUCAUCGAAUCUUUGAACGCACAUUGUGCCCCUUGGUAUUCCAUGGGGCAUGCCUGUUCGAGCGUCAUCUACACCCUCAAGCUCUGCUUGGUGUUGGGCGUCUUUGUCCCGCCUCCGCGCGCGGACUCGCCCCAAAUUCAUUGGCAGCGGUCCUUGCCUCCUCUCGCGCAGCACAUUGCGCUUCUCGAGGUGUUGCGGCCCGCGUCCAGAAAGCAAUCGUUACCGUCUUUGACCUCGGAUCAGGUAGGGAUACCCGCUGAACUUAAGC